rnacentral:rRNA from 1 species
CACGGAGUUAGCCGGGGCUUCUUCUCUCGGUACCGUCACUCCUCUGGAUUGUUCACCCAGAGGCCAUUCGUCUCGAUCGAAAGGAGUUUACGACCCGAAGAUCUUCAUCCUCCACGCGGCGUUGCGUCGUCAGGCUUGCGCCCAUUGCGAACAAUUCCCCACUGCUGCCUCCCGUAGGAGUCUGGGCCGUGUCUCAGUCCCAGUGUGGCCGUCCGCCCUCUCAGGCCGGCUACCGAUCGUUGCCUUGGUGAGCCAUUACCCCACCAACUAGCCAAUCGGACGCGGGCCCCUCUUCAAGCGCCUGGCCUUGCGGUCCCAGGCUUUGAUGUCCACCUUUUAAAAGGCAGGAUGUUAUGCGGUAUUAGCGUCCCUUUCGGAACGUUAUCCCCACUCGAAGGCAGGUCACCCACGCGUUACUCACCCGUUUGCCACUCUACUCAUGGAUUGCUCCACUUUCGCGUUCGACUUGCAUGUGUUAGGCACGCCGCCAGCGUUGAUUCUGAGCCAGGAUA